CGAUGAGGGAGCAGUUUUCCCGCCACCCGCGCCCUGAUUGGCUGCUGGGCGGCAGAGGCGCCCGCACGAGGGAAAGGCGCCCGCGGCAGCGAGGGCAGCGCUGAAGGGGCUGUGAGGCUGAGGGGAGCACAAAAUGGCGGAGGGGAGGAGGCAUGCGGAGGGUGCCCUGUUCCUGAGGGGCAAGUGAGUUUGUGGCUGCUGGAUUUCGGUUGUUAUCCCUACGUGUUUUGUUCUCGGCCAACUGCUUGCCUGGCGUACUAACUGCUACCCUGCUCUUCCCAUUUCUCAAAGUUGCAAGUGUCUGAGGUGUGGAGUAAGUGGGUUGAGGAUGUUUUUUGGAUAGUUCUUAAAUGUCAGCGUAACAGGCUUCCUUGAUAGCAGCUGGAUCAUGCAGCCACACUCUACUGAGCAAGCUCACUUCUGCAGCUCUCCUGAAAAGGUUUGUAAUCUAGUCUUCUCAUAAUCUGCCCAGAGUACGAAGAAGGAGAGCUCUAACCUGUGAAUGCAGUUCACCACAGGAGCAGUUUUUGCUUGCUACUGAACUGUUCACCAAGUCAACACUUCUGACAUUGACCAAGAAAAAGAAAACAUGAGGUGGAGUGUAUCAGAGUUAUGAAUAAAGGAAGAAGUGGUGAUUGAUGUGUUGCAAAGCAUUUUCAAGAUAACUUGACGUUUCAAGAAUAAGAAUGCUUGGACAAGAUCAUUCUGAACAGUAGCACAGUACAAUGCACUAGCUUCUCUCUGGCCAUGCAGAACAACAUGCCAGAAAUUUCAUCAUGCCUCAAAAGCAAGCCAAAAGUAAGAAGAGAUGCUGCCUUGAUGACCUGAGUGCAGGCAGAAGUCGUCCAUACAGCUGACAGAAGCUGUGCUAUUUGUGAUACUAGUCUGCGCUAUUAUUACUCCCAGUUUAAAGAUAUGAAAAUAGAAGAUAACUGAAUUUUUCCCUUGGGAUAUGGGGCAAGGAUUGAAGUAAGAGAGCUGGCUUUGGUCCCUCAACUCCUUCUCCAAAAAUACAGAUGUGCGUUAUUGUUUCUAUGGAAGCCACUAGAGAACCUCUAGAGUGGUCAGUCGUAAAUGUAACUGGAGAAUUGACAUCAAGAUCAUCAGUCUGGUAAUGAAAGGGAUGUUGCAUCACUGUAGAACAAAGUUAAGUUGGUGACCAAAAGGUGUUUUACUGGUGAUUUAACAAGUUGCACUGGCUGAGCUUGAGUCUGACCACAGCAGGUAUACAGAAAUGGGAUAUGUGAAGCUGGGAAAGAAAAGAAUGGGGAAACAAGAAGGACUUCCCACUUUUGCUGGUGGUAAUUUCAAAAAUUGCUUAGAAAAGUUUUGCUUGAAAAGGUAAAUGUCAAACUAAAACUUCCUGAUCAGAGUUUAAGUUCAGAAUUCAAUUCAAGCUUGCAGAUGUUGUUCAUAACAUUGAACAGGUUAUGUGAGCCUGUUCAAACCAUUAAAGUUUCAGAUUUAGGUAUGAAUACCUAUCUUAAAGUUUCUCUUGCUAAUAUUAUGCAAUGAAACAAUACAUACAAAAUGCAAAUGCCCUCAGUCAAGUACGCAGUAAUCUUACCAUGUACACUAAGAUGAAAAGUCACAGAGCAGUGUAUCAGUUUAAGGAACUGCUAAGAUCAUAGUAAACUGUAGCCCAGUAUUCUCUUUGCAACGCUGCUGACACUUUUAAAUAUGCUACCACCUAUAACCAGUUUGUGUCCUGUCAUCUGGAGUACUUCUGAACAGCAGAAAAGAUCAUGUGAACGCUCCCCAGCACUGUACAGGAAAAAUCAUCUCAAAUGUCUUAAAACACUUUUGUUGGCUGUUGAAAGUAAAGCAGAUGACUUUGAAGGAAAUUAGAUGGGAUGUACAUGCCCUGGUCUGACAAACCCAUAGGACUGUACUUUCUUCUGUGGAAGCUCAGAUAAGCAAAUGGGAUUUAUUGGUUUCAGCUGACAAAACUGUUCAAAGUAAUCUAUAGCAGGUCAGGAAACCUAUGCCUUACUCUAAGGCUGAAUAGAUCUUCGAAAUGUUUUUGGCAGGCCAAAUAUUAGUACAUACUUCUGUAUUAACUAGUAACAAUUUGCGCUAUGAAAAAGUGAUUGGCUGUAGGUCCCACAAGAACUGGAUUAAGUUGUGAAUUGUGUUCACCUUCUGGAUCAUAGCUUGACUACCCUGACCUACAUUAGUAGAACACAUUCAAGCAGAGGAUGCCAUGUUACUCAGCUGUGAGGGUUAAUGCCCUGACGAUGAAAGUUAAACUGAGCAAACAAAUGGACAUUUGCCAUUUACCAUAUGUGAUGCAGUGUUUCUAUUAACAAACACUGCUACUACUGAUUGUUCCUAUGGACUAUAAAUUCUUUCCAGAACUACAACUCAAGAUAAAAGAUUCAUUUUUUUUCUAAGAAGUUUAAAUUCUCCUUUUUGCCUCCUUCCUCCUUGAGACAAGCUAUUCAGCAGUGCUACAGCAGCAGAAGUACAUUUGUCCUCUUGGCUUGGGUGUAUUGUGCAUGCACUGCCUAAGAACACUUUCAAAGGUGACCUAAUUCUGGGUGGGCUAUAAACAAAAACACUUGUUUAAAACAGGAAAGAGAAUAUCCAUGGCCUCUUCAAGGUUUGUGUCUAUCACCCUUAUGUUAUGAAAGUCUCAUAUCUGAUUCCCACGUCAUUUUAUAUGUAUAUAAACAUACCUAUUUUGUAUUUAAAAUUGGAUAUGUCUAUUAUCCUGUGGUUUUCUUUGUAGUGCAUAUGAAGUGUGAGACUUAUUACUGUUUGAACAUGCCUCCUGUAUGUUUUUAGAUACAGCUACAUGUUUUGAUACACUUCUUCAAGGUAAAAAAAAAAUAAAAAAUCAAAGCCAGAGACCAUAUAAACCUGGGGGGAAAAGUCUGAUCAUUGGGAGGUAUUCAAUUGUCAUCUUCCCAAGACAUUAAGGAGAAUUGUUAGAAUUAAGAUGAGGGAAGCAUGAGAAACAGAAGGCUAAACUGUGCACACAACUGUUGAACAGUUUUCUUCCAAACAAAAACAAGAAUGUUUUUAUGUCAAGUGAGUCAUUUAAGGUUGACUUUGCUAAUCUGAAGGUGUUAGUCAGUAGAGUGGUCCAAAAGCAGAAGUAGUCUAAGUGCAGCUUAAUGUUACAUGUUUAUUUCAUGCAAAUUAAUGCAAAUUCAUAUAUAAAUAUGAAGCCAUAGGAGAAAAUCCAUGUUGAGGUUUUGGUUCAGAUGUUAGCACCUACUAUUUGAUUAGAAGGUGAGACAGUAACUGCAGAGCACUAGUGUAGGAUACUAUGCCACUACCAUCUUUCAGUGAAUUUCUCAUGAGACAUUAUUUUUUUCAUGAGGAAACAAAUGCAUUACCAUACUGUGUUUGCCUAAAGGCCUUCCCCAUUAAUUUCAGCUUUAUAGGGCAUAAUUCUCUGCCUGCCUAAACCAAUGUGUGGCCUUGUAGAGGUUAAAUGACAGUUAUGUUCCAUUAAUAUAAUUCUGCUCCUCAGCAAUGGGCAAAGGACAAAGUUUGGAAUCUUCAAGAUGAUGAUCAUUAUUAUGAAUAACCCUAAAAUCUGCAUUCAUUGCGUCUUCAGUGGCAGAAUAAAGGCAUCCGAAUAGUGCAUAGGAAUAGGGAACAACGAGCAAGUGCAACAGUAACAAUGCAUUCUCUAUUCAGAUGGAUCCAGAGUCCAGUAACUAGAAUAUAGCUAAUAUAUAUAAAAAUAGCAAUAAAGCUUUUCAUUUUUUGAUUUACAUUUCAACAGGAAAUCACCCUUUUACUGUUCAGGAUUGUGAAAUGAAUUGUCGUAAGGCCUGCUGAAGUCUUUUAUCUUUUAACUUCUACUGAGUUUACUCAGCAGGAAGCAAUAGUGGGAUUCCAACACAACAAGCUAGCUCUGUGCAGAAUGCUGCCCUCACAACUGACAUCUGUCACAUCACCCAAACUUCUUGAGAAACUGAGUCAAUGGUAAGAAAAAAAAAUAUUUAGUAGGAAUGUGAAUUGUAUCACAUUUGGCAUCUUUGAAGUCCAUGGAAAAUAAUCAGUCAUGAUCCAACUUUGGACUAAAGCCUGCCAUAGAGUUCCUUUAUACUCUUAACUACAGCAUAUCUCUAUCUGCUUCCAAAGGUCCUGUCAAGCAGAUGCCUCUUGGAUUGUGGCUAAAAUACAAUUCUAGGUUCUUUCAAAGUAGCAACAGAUAUCCUGAGUUCCCAGAUCUCACAGAUGAUAUUCUGCUAGUCACUCCUUUUGUUAUAGCAAGGAUACCAAAGUGAGGCAUACUGACUAUGACUGUGGUGGUGAUCUAAGGUUGAGUUGAACACAACAGCUUUGUGUUGAGUACAUAACAAUAGCCCAAUCUAAAAGGAAAACAAUUAUUAAGGGCUACGUAAGGAGCAACUGUUGCAAAGGAAUAACAACUUUUGAGUGAUACUGCUUAAAGAUGAAGGUAUUGCUGGAAGGAAAGGAGGAAAUGUACCCUAAAGAAGCAUUUUUUGUGGAAGGAGUGUUUCUCUUCUAGGCAAUCAUUCUAAAGAAAUAAAUAAGUUUCUAUGCACUGCUGGUAGAAAAGCCAUGUUCAAAUCAAAUGUAAAAAUAUUAAGUAUAUAAUGGCAUUGUAGCAGGAGUGAAUUUCACCCCAUUAAAACAGUUUUUCUUUGAAGUGUCAUUUCCCUUCACUGGAGGGGAGGGACAGGCAGUACUGACUAUAUGUCUUAAUGUAUUAAAUAUGUAUUCAAUUUAUACUUGUAAUUAUAGUUGUAGUACUCGGAUGGGAAAGUUGUGCUCUGUACAUUUAAUCUUUGUGUUUCUUUAUGCUUAGCUUAUAUUUAGCAUUUGCAGAUGCUUGAGAGGAAGUAUAGAGAAAUAUAAACUAAAGGAAGAUCUUAGGAAGCCAAAAAGGCUAAAAGGAGACAGAUCCCUCAGUUCUCCCUCAGACUCUGACAGAGUGCAAAGGUGAGGAAUGUAAACAAAUAUAUAACAAAGACUCCAUGUUUAUGUGCAUGUAGAUAUACAUACAUAUUUGUAUAUAAUACAGGAUUGUGCAUUUUGGUGAGCUUGUUAUCCAAAUGUUAACAUUACAUUGUUUGAAAUAAUGUUUUUUGAUCUAGGAAAUAGGUUAGAAAACUGAACCGUUGCUGUAUUUUGUCUUUCUGAAAUUCAGUGUUAAAGCUAUUGAAGUGUUUGAAACAAAAAUUAGUUAGCUUUGCAUGUCUUUUUCUAUCCUUUUAGCUCUAUAGAAGAUACAGGAUUCUGAUUUUUUUUUCCUGCAUAUAUGAAACAUGCUCUUAAAAUUACUGUUUUUUGUCUCAAUAAACUGCUCAGUAUUUCAUCUCCAUACUACUUCUUCUUGAUACAUUCUAAAAGUUGUUUCAACUUAAAUAAAUGAGGGCACCAACUGAGGCUUUAUAAGUUUGAGAACAUUUCACUACAUAUCCUUUGCCUCAGUAUUUCUCAUACAUUGUGUAAACCACCACACCCAAUGCUAAACGAAGGUCACUGUUUAAAUGUGACAAGCUUGUAAUCUAGCCUUGAUUGCAUUGUGGAAAGACAAGAAGACUGAAAAGCAAAUCUGAUAUUCAAUAACAGCACUUGGCAAUGAAUAUUUGUUGCCCAAGAACAAGGAACCUGUGGUCCUGACUUGCAGAACUGUUGACUUUAUUAUCCCUUUUCCUGAAACACACUUAACUUUUUUGUUAGUGAUCAUAUGAUUUAACUGAGACUGUUUAAUCUUGACUGCUUAAUCUGUGUGUUACCAGUCCCACAGAAUUCUUCUAAGAAAGGGAUGUUUUAUAUUCUACCUCUGAGAAAGAAAAAAACAACAAACGAGUACAACAACAAAAAACUUUCUACCUUACACAGCAUAUUGUCCAUACAACAAUGAAGAAGUUGCUCUAUGACUGUGUGUAUAUAGUGGUUUUGUAAAUCCCUUUGAGCCUAGACUUGAGAAAGGCAACUAAUCCCAGUAAAAGGGUAUUGCUUCAUAUAAAGUCUUUGCAGAGUAUAUACCUCCACCCCCAACUGCCAAGGCUGUUUGCAUACAGGGUUUUGGUUGUGCUGCUACAGAUAAACUGCGCAAAUAAAUGAAACUGGCUGAUAUUUUACACCUACUAGUCUCAUUCCAGUAUGUAUAUGUUCACAAUCCCUUCCCUUGCCACUUCUCAGUAGUAUAUUGUGACUAUAUGUUGUAGAGAGUGCUGUUGCUUUGAGGCAGUGAAGAUGCAUCCCAAGAUGCAUUGUAUGCCUUUAGGCCUGCACAACAUAAUUUUAACUGUUAAAGUAUGAAUCUUUCCCCAUUACAUUUGAUCCUGUAUCAUGGUAACAUAUACUGCAAGUUUCAUCCUUAAGAUAGCAAAGCAACUGUUUCCCAGCUCUUAAGUUUCUGUAGCUGUCCACCUGUAAAUAUUCUAAGCUUUAAGAAAUACUGAAGGAAUCUUGCAUUAAAAUACUGUUGAUUUUCUGUCAGUUCUUUGAGCUGUUGUGAUUACGAAAUACUUUCAUGCCCAUGAGCUGGAGGAUGUUGA